rnacentral:lncRNA from 1 species
UUAUCUACUUCAAUAAAGCUUCUUAUAUUAUAUUGUUCUUAUCUUCUAUUAUUUCUAUCAUGGUAUCAGAGCCGCUUGCCUAGAGCAAGCUCUCUUCUCGCUGCCAAUUCAUCAUUGGUGUUGCCACUCUGCGCCAACGUCCGUUCCCUUCCGCUACGGCAUCUCUAGUGCUGCUCAUGAGCACUGCCCCACCUUUCUUCGUCGUUGUAGCUAUUUUCCUUUCUCUUUUGCUACAGUUUCCUCUUCUACUACAGCUUCCUCCUCUGUUGCAGUUUCCUCCUUUGCUGUAGUAGCAUCACUGCAACAUUGUUGUAGAUUUCUUCUCUACCGUCGCAGCCGUCGUAAUCGCAACCACGACCAACGUCGUUGAGAAAAGCGAAGCUUCGCUCUUGCCUUCGGCAAGCGACCAAUGUCGCUGAGAAAAGUGAAGCUUCACCCUUCGGCCAGCGACCAACGCUGUUGUAUUCCUAAGAGGCUCCGUGGUCAAUCCUCAUCUUCCUCACCGCGGUAGUCUUCGCUGAUCUGUCAACAUUCGACAGACUUAAGGAGAAUGAAGGGAACGCUUGUGCCAUCACAGCAACAGCAAUCGCAGCAACAGCAGCAGCGAUCUACACUUAUCUUACUCACGAAGCCUCUUUCUUACCGAUCCAAGAUUGGUAUCCUUGUCAGGAGCACCAUCUUGCGGGGGCAUGAUAGAAGAUAAGAUUUCCCCACUAUGUAAGGAAAUCUUAUCUAUUCUGUUGAGGAAAAUCCUCUAUUCUGUUGAGGAAAAUCAUUCCUCUUAAUCCUAUAAAUAGGAGAGGAACAUGUUAAUGUAUUCAAGCUAAAGUUUAUCUACUUCAAUAAAGCUUCUUAUAUUAUAUUGUUCUUAUCUUC